UAGCGCUGUACAUGGUGACAGACAUACAAUUUUCGAAGUACAACGCUAGUACAGUUGUAUGUCUGUCAUAAGUAUUAUGAGAAAGGCCUUUCAGCCAUCUUGGAAUUUGUAUGUAAACAAUCUGCAAUAUUUUGCAAUAUCUUUUUUUUGCUCUUUGUGUGUGGAAUUGUAUUGGUGGGAAUAAGAGUAUUGAAAAGUUGAAAGCUCAAGAGAAUAAAUCGACUUUCGGUAUCGGUCGGUGAUGGAGGUAUUUUUCCCGCGUUUUGCAGUUAGAGACGUCGGUUAAUUAUUCGAUUAUGAUAUAAAAGGAUUUCUAGGAACUUCCUGCGAUUUGUUUUAUCGUCGAUAUUGUUCAGCUCAUAUAUUAUAGAAAAAAACCCGAAGCUGUAACUGUAAAAAUAACCAUAAGCCACCGAUUAAUUUAUAAUUUACAGUUUACAAUUCUUCCGCAAGUGCAUUUAUUUCACAAGUGUGUAUAUGCGUGACCAUUAUAUUUAGUGAACAACUAAACGAAUGUCAAACAUUUGUACUUUACUUUUGCACGUAUGAAUCUAACGACGAGUAUAUCGACGAAUAAUAUAUGAAUCCGUUCAAUCCGG